rnacentral:rRNA from 1 species
CCUACGGGAGGCUGCAGUGGGGAAUAUUGGGCAAUGGGCGCAAGCCUGACCCAGCAACGCCGCGUGAAGGAAGAAGGCUUUCGGGUUGUAAACUUCUUUUCUGAGGGACGAAGAAAGUGACGGUACCUCAGGAAUCAGCCACAGCUAACUACGUACCAGCAGCCGAGGUAAUACGUAGGUGGCAAGCGGUAUCCGGAUUUAUUGGGUGUAAAGGGCGUGUAGGGGGGAAAGUAAGUCAGAUGGGAAAACUCAGGGAUCAAACCUGAUCCUGCCUUUGAAACUGUUGUUCUUGAGUGGUGGAGAAGUAAGCGGAAUGCGUGGUGUAGCGGUGAAAUGCGUAGAUAUCAGGAGGAACACCAGUGGCGAAGGCGGAUUGCUGGACAGCAACUGACGCUGAGGCGCGAAAGCGUGGGGAGCAAACAGGAUUAGAUACCCCAGUAGUC